GAUCACGAAGCCCGACGUUCACAGCCUCCCGGCUCGUCGGCUGGCAACCGCGCUCAUCGCGCACGGUGCCCCCGGGAGAAGAUCGGCCGGCGUCGGCAACCGCGCGCCGGAAGUGCGAUUC
rnacentral:ncRNA from 1 species